GAUUAUUUAUUUAUUUUUAGGUGCUAUUAGGACAGUGAAUUUUUCACUUUUUUUUAUUUUUUUUUUGUUUGUUCAUGACGUGUUGUUCUGUGAGUUACACAUUUUUUAGUGAAAGAAAGUAGAGCGAUUGUCAUGCACAUAAUAGUUAACACUCAAAGAUUGUUACAUUCAAAAUUAUUAGAAAUACCCAACUCGUGCAUCUGUUUCAAUUCCUUGUUAAUACAAUUGGUAGGUGUUCCAGAAAAAACCUCAGGGUUUUCACAUGAUUUUACAGCUUGCUGCUUGCACUACUAUGUUCGAGCAAAUAGCUUCUUUUGUUGAUUUAUCCAUUAAACUAGUUGUUUUUGCAAUAUAGGUCAUGGGACCCGAAAAGAAACAUACUCUAGGAGAAGUUGUUAAAGGAUUAAUUGUGGAUGAUGGCUGGAAAGGUUCAUACGGAGGGCUCGGUCCAAGGUUUUUCCCGAUGUCGGCAUGGGGAACCUCGAUGAUACUUUCCUAUGAAUAUUUGAAAUGCUUGUGUGUGAAAGAUCAAUAGAUUUACCCUUCAACAACAGAGAAUUGGUUUGCAGUUAACUGGGAUUUCAUACGUUAAAGAAGAUAGUUUUGCUCAGUAUUUACAGGAAUGGUUAUGCGGGCAUCCACACAGAUAAACAGUGUCAACAAAUUGUAACCCUUGUUAAAUUGACUGGGUAGUGACCUUCAUACCUAUUAAAACUGGAUUACUUCCUGAUUUCCUGGAAGGCCUUGUAAGAUCAAUCUAUAAUUAUUUUUAGCUCAUUUCUUAUUGCAUUCUUGGGCUAUAAUUGAACCGAUUUGUAUCUGUAAUUUGUGUAUUCUUAAAUCAAAGAAUUUCAUUUUAUAUUC